ensembl:snRNA U6 U6 spliceosomal RNA
GGGCUCGCUUCGGCAGCACAUACACUAAAAUUGGAACGAUACAGAGAUUAGCAUGGCCCCUGCGCAAGGAUGACACGCAAAUUCGUGAAUCCAUGAAGGUUUCCAUAUUUUA